GCAGGUUGUCGGUGAAGGUAGCCUCAAGCUCGAAGCGUCUGCUAGGGAGAGUCGCGCUGGUGUUAAAAGGAGCUUCGCAGUCUUGCGGACGAGUCUGCGGUCGGAGGAAGUGACAAAUAGCACAACUACUAGAGUCCAGAAGGGUCCAGUAUGGUUUCAAAUAGAAUGAGAGACUUUGAUGAGAUUCCUGCAUUGCAGGGGGUUGACUAGAUGACCCUUGGGACCUUUCCAAAUCUACACUUUAUGAUCAUCUGAACAAAAACUUUUACUUACAUUCCUGGUAAGCCUAAAUUGCCUUUGCUUCAGUCACCUCUCUCUGGAAGCAGCAGAAGUCUUGUCUGGUGCACUUUUUUGUAGGCUAAUUUCCACCCCUAUGGCGACAUGUCCCUUUAUGUGGCAGUUUAAAGAGACUCUAUUGGGUGUGCCAUCCGAAUGAGGAAAUGAAGAAUUGUGAAGAAGAGGGAGUGCUUAGAGUGCCUGCUACUUGGAAGUUGUGGCCAUUUGUAAUUAAGGAUAACUGAUGAAAUCACAUCUACAAUAGCAGUCAUAUUGCAUGAUAACGUAUUGGGUCACAGAAAACCAGUUAUUGACUAAGGAGUAAAGGUAAGAAUUGUGACAAGAUAUGCAUGUAAAAGGAUCAUCCUGCAAUACGUAAACCUUAGUAACAUGUCAUGUGUAUUGAAUUCUAGCACUGUAAAAGCUCUUCCAUUGGACCUGCCAUUUAAUUCUACAGCAGCAUGCGUAUGUGGAUUUCAUUAACACCUACUAGGUUUGAAUACUGAAUCUCAAGUAAUCAUCCUUAGUAAUCAAUCCUACACUAAUAAACUUGACCAGCUACUUGUGCUCUA